ensembl:piRNA 21ur-14017 ncRNA
UUUCCUUUUCUGUCCCUCUUU